UGUUGCUAGCCUGGGUGAGAACCCGACGAGACGCGCCGUACCGGGCCACGACAAGACGACGCACC
rnacentral:ncRNA from 1 species